UAUGGUUUAUCGAUUUGAGUUUGUUGCAUAUAGAGGAAAAUAAUUUGUAGGAGAUACUAUGGUUUGCAAAGGAAACAGUGAGAAAGUUUUAGAGAAAGAAUGGAGAGAGAAACAAUGAGAAAAUAAUUGAGAGAGAAAUGGGAGGAGAGAGAACGUGAGAGAGAGAAUGGCAAGAGAGGCAGAAAGAGAGAAAUGAGACUGGAAUAAAGAGAUUGGAGAGAGAGGAGA
rnacentral:misc_RNA from 1 species